AGUGGGACGCGCUUGGGGGUGCUCUCGGCGUGCGUUGCAGACCGUCGACGUGCGAUGCUCCCCGUGCUUCAGUGGUAGGGGGUUAAUCGCCUGUGGAAAUCCUUCCUACAUCGCCUCAUGUAGUUAGCACGUUUGUUUGAGCGGUUUUUUCCUCUUUUUCCUAAGAGAUGGGGAAAGGCGGCACAGGAUGCUUGCCUGUAUUUGAAUGCCUGGGAAUAGAACUUCUUUUAUUCUGGAGAGCAGAUAAGAAAGCGAAAAUGACAUAACGUGCUCACUAGGAAGGAAGCAGGCUGUCGAGGUCCCAUGACAGAACGUGGUUCUCCUCCUGUAGCUUCUCUCCCGGGUCAUGCGGUCCAGGACUGGGGAUGGCGGGAAGGCCAGAGCGUUUAGGGAUCUCUACAACCGUCUGAGAAGGUUCUGAAUGACCUUGGCCUGUCUCACUGAAUUAUGAAUCAUGGAAAUUUGGAUUCUUGACGUUCAAAGGUGGGAGAGUUUUCUGUGUUUGCAAAGGGAAGUGGAGGAUAGAUUUUUGUAGGACCGUGUAACGUUUUAACAUUUGUUGAUGUACUAGCACCAUUAGAAGCUGUUUCAACCUCGUGACUUGAGAGUUUAGUAAAACCUCUCCAAUUCGUUCAGCUCUGAUUCGGGAGAAUUUGAUGAUGACCGUCUCUUAGUGCUCUAUUAGGUCUCCUCUUUCCCACUUUCUUCAUGACAUCCUGGUAUCGGGGUGUAGAGCUCUCAGGGAUCCAUGGUAAAAAUGAGUGGCAACCAUUGGGGAGUGGACUCCCAUUGACAAGCAUCGGCUCUCCUCACCCUGACCAGUGUAGCAAGCAGCCAACCCUCCUUUAAUUUAGCACGUCAUCUACCUGGCAGGGCGCGAAGGGAGAUCCGCGGUUCUACUGAUCUUACCCCGACAUGGGUGAAUUCAUGAGCCAUCGUUUUAUUGCCACCUGCUGUCAGUUGUGUAGGCACAAUUCUGCGCCUCAGUCCUCGCUGGACGCCCACAUUUGCAUUGCAGUUGGAGACUUUGCAGGAAAGUCUUUGCUUUAGGGGCCCUUGUGCAAACGGGUCCAGACUAGUGCUUGGAUAUGCACCCACAGGGGGUUGCACUGGGAGCGCUGGGAAGAAAGGCAGGCAGAUCUUGCAUCACCAGGCACUGUUUGCAUCUGCGUCUCCCUGUGUGCGCCCUCCCCCAGCCCCCCACCCCACCUCCCCAAGCCUGAGGGAGGCUGCAGGGCUGGAGGCGGUGCUGGCCUGCAGAGACAGGCCUGAGCUCUGUGGCUUGAUGCUUGUCCUUCACAGCCCUUCCAACCCCAGAACCUCAUAGUGGUUUCUUGUCUGCACAUGCUGACCAGCUCUAGAGAAAUUCUGCCUGGAGAAAUAAAACUAUAGCUUGGUUGACAUCAACGGCAAUCAGUCGCUGGUAGAAAAACAUCAUUGAAAUGGGAACUUUUAUGUCUUAUCUUGGCUUCAUUAAAACGCUAUAUACCAUUGGAAAAAGGCAGCAUUUUACACAUUUCAAUAUUAAGUUCUGAAGCAGGCAAGAAUAUAGGCAAUACACAAGGAUGUUUGUUGUAGCCCAGAGGUUUAUGAGGUGGCAGGCUGUCAGAAUGGUCUGCUCUCAGUCUUAAGGCAUCUUGUGCUUCUACAUCUGCUGUUUUUCACACCAGCUACGGUAGAGUCCUUCCUCCAAACCAGACCAGUGGUUCCAGCUCUGCAGACAUGUGGGUGCAACGUAAGCCAGCCUCACUCCCCACCCUCACUUAAAUGUCUUUUGAAAUUUGCCAGCUUGGGACGAAGCUCCUGUCUUUGCUGGAACAUGAAUUUUGAAGGUGCUUAUUUCAGGUCCUUAUGCUUGCCUGGCUAUGAGUAACCAAAGCCUUGAGCUGCAGAGGUCAUGUUGAGAAAGGGCUCAGUCAAGUGAUGAAGAAACAAAAGUGAUGGUUUUCUAGAUUAAACCUGUGAGCUCCUCCUUUCCUCCUUCCAUCUCAUGAGGUGCUUUCAGGAUGGACAGAAUCUUCCUUAUUAGAAUAAUCAUUUCUUAACCUCAUAAAGAACCAUCAAAGCAUGCUUUUUAAUGAAAUAUUAACUCACCACUGUUUGAAACAGGCUUCGACAUACAUAUAUAAACAUGUGACUAUCUUUUUGCAAACAUACCAUUUAUUUCAUGCUUUUAUCUGAUUGUGGAGAAGUAUUGACACAGCUCUUGGAAUAGUUAAUUACACUCUACGGGAGUACAUUGCACAAAUACAAGCAUGAAUUACAGGCAAGAUAUAAAGUAUAAUUAUACAUAGGUAUAGUUCAAAUUUGUUUUCUGCUGUCGCUAGUGAAAAUUCACUUUACUCUUUCUUGGCCACAAGGACCAUGAUGAACACUUAGUUUUAAUGAGUAACUCGAGCACUGAAGCCAAUAACACUAGAACAUUUAUUUCAAGAUAAUUUUCUUAUACAGACGUUUACUUAUUUGGGACAUUUGCAGCAAAAGCCAUUUCUCUCGGGAACAGAUAGAAAUUCACUUUGUUCCUGGAGGUUUUGAGAAAGAGGGAGCCAAAAAUAGAGAAAAAAAAAAAACACAACUUAUUUCAAAAUUUUGAAUAUGUUUUAUCUGAUAGUUCCACUUCUCAGAAUUUACAUAUUAUUCCUUAUAAUUAGAGAAUUGAACAAAGAUUUAUGUACAAAGGUUAUGCUCAUGGUUUUACUUAUGAUUGUGAAAAUUAGGACCAAAAUAAGCAUUUUGGAAAAAUGAAUAAUGUACAUGAAAAUCAUGCUAUUAAUGAAUGAUUAAUCACAUGGAAAUGCACAAAGUAUGAGUGAAAAGAGCAGAUCAAAUAACAGCUUGUAUGUCACAAUCCAAAUUAUGUUUUUUAAUAGGUAUAGAAAAAUACUGAAUAGCUAAAAUAUUAAGAAUGGUAUUUCUGGUGGGUAAAAUUAUGAGCAAUUAUUGUUUUCCUUUUUAUACUUUUCUUUCAUUUAUUUGAGUAUUAUUUAUUGUGUUUUUCUUUUCAUCUUUAUUGGCGUAUAAUUGCUUUACAAUGGUGUGUUAGUUUCUGCUGUACAACAAAGUGAAUCAGCUAUAUGUAUACGUAUAUUCCCAUAUCCCCUCCCUCUUGAGCCUCCCUCCCACCCUCCCUAUCCCACCCCUCUAGGUGGUCGCAAAGUGCCCAGCUGAUCUCCCUGUGCUAUGCGGCUGCUUCCCACUAGCUACCUAUUUUACAUUUGGUAGUGUAGAUCUGUCAGUGCUACUCUCUCACUUCGUCCCAGCUUCCCUUUCCCUGCUCUGUGUCCCCAAGUCCCUUCUCUAUGUCUGCAUUUUUAUUCCUGUCCUGCCACUAGGUUCAUCAGUGCCGGUUUUUUAGAUUCUAUAUAUGUGCUUUAGCAUACGCUAUUUGUUUUUCUCUUUCUGACUCACUUCACUCUGUAUGACAGACUCUAGGUCCAUCCACCUCAUUACAAAUAACCCAGUUUCGUUCCUUUUUAUGGCUGAGUAGUAUUCCACUGUAUAUAUGUGCCACAUAUUAUUUAUCCAUUCCUCUGUUGAUGGACAUUUAGGUUGCUUCCAUGUCCUGGCUGUUGUAAAUAGUGCUGCAGUGAACAUUGUGGUACAUGUAUCUUUUUGAGCAAUCCUCUUUACACUUCACUUAGUUUUUUAAUGUUUCAUCAUACAUGUAUGUUUAAUUCUACCACUAGGAAAAAAAUGUUUUUAAGGAAGGAAAAUACCCUAUAUUUUAAAUGUUUACAUUCUACUGAUUUUUUUUCAAAAAAUCCUUAGUUAUCCAAUUUGCCAGUAGGAUGGAGGUGACAUCAUUACUUUCUAUUCAUUUACAUAUAUGAGUUGUGAAUCCCUGCUCUAGGAGAUAGUUCAAACCCCUUCUCCCCACACUUCACUCUCUUUUCCUUUCUCUCUCCACAUCGCCUGUCGUUCCUUACAAUCUUCUCUUAAUUCAUAUGAAAAUCAGCUAAAAUAGUGACAAUGAAAAUAUUAAUAAAAUUUCCACCAUUAUAAGCUUUCAACUCUUCUCUGAGUUAUGCUCUUGUUAUUAUUUCUUUGAUCAUUUCUCCCUUCCCUUUUCUUGUUUUCCACUUUCUAGAACUUCUCUUCAUCAUGUAUUGGACCUUGUGAAUUGCUCUCUAAUUUUUAAAAUAUGUGUUUCUGUGGUGAAAUAACCAGAACUUACUUUGGUUUGUGUCUAUUAUCUUUUCCUGAUCUUGUUUCUCAAAGACAGGACCUCUCUCCCUCUGUCUGUCUGUCUGUCUCUCUCUCUCUCUCUCUCUGUUUUUACUAAUUUUUGUAUAGUACAGAACGCCGUGUCUUAAACAUAAGGAUGUUUCAUUUGACGGCAAUGAUCAAAGUUUGGACCAAAAAUAUGCUCACAGUUGAUUAUCAGCUCCAAUGGGGAGAGCGUUAGCACAGAUAACACAGAGCUGCCAUUGAGAUCAAAUAGAAGAACUGGAAAGGCAAGUCUAAAAACAAUCCUUUGAUAGUAGGUGGUUAUCUUGAACCAGUGGAACAACAAUGAGAUUGCUGGGAUGGCAAACUCUGUCUCUGUGUCCCACAAGUGAAAAAACAAUGGAGCAACUAUGAAAGAAGUAAAGCAAAAGCAAAUAACUACUUUCUGGUCAAGGAAGGGUAUAGGGAUACCCAGAGCCCAAGAAUAAUUCCUACGGGGAAGAGUGGAAAGUGAAUGAUUUCCAAAAUGUGAUGUUAAUUUUUACUAGUUGCAAUGAUAGGACUAGAUAAAUCAUGGACACUUUGCUACUUUAUUCUUCAUAUGUGUGUUUUCUGUGUGUGGCUGGGUCUAUCAUAAUGAGUCCCUAUAUGCUUAUAUUUUACAGAAUGUUUUCCCCUUUCAAUUUUAUUUGACCAAAAUCUGUUGGGUCUCCUGUGAGGUAUAUUAUCAUAAGCUUUGGAGCCAUGAAAAUCUCCGCGGAAGGACCAGAGCUCCAGCAUUCACAGACAUCAUGGAAAUCUCUUUGAAGAUACAUUUUUCUUAACCUUAAAAACUUGGUGCCUCUUUGUUUAGUUUUUGUAAAUUCUGUAUUGUUUGUUUUAUCCAAAUAAUACACGACCUAGUUCAGAAAAUCAAAUAGUACUAUAAGGCUUAUCAUGGGAAGCAGCAGCCCCCCGCUUCCUCCCCUCCAUUCUAAUUUCUGCUUCCCAAAGGCAGUUGCUUCAGUUCAUGAAGUUGUUUUCUCUUAUUUAUCUCCAUAAACUGCUGUUCCUCAGUAUUUCAAUUGUUCGAUUCUAUAAAAGACGAGGAUUUAACUCACUCACACUGCCUCCUCACAAACAGCCCCCUCCACACACCGCCUCUCUUUUUCUCUUCGCAUACUCUCAGUAGAACUCUGUAUCACAAAUUAUGAUUUUGAAGGUAUUGCAUAUUUACAUGGCUGACUUUUGCAUAGUGCCUCACAGUUUAGCUACGUAGUAUACUAUGGUUAUAUUUCCUUUCUUGUAUAACCUUCUGUUUUCCCUGGAAUUUAUAACUGCCUCUUUUUUUUUUUUUUUUUUUGCAUUACGCGGGCCUCUCACUGUUGUGGCCUCUCCCAUUGCGGAGCACAGGCUCCAGACGUGCAGGCCCAGUGGCCAUGACUCACGGGCCCAGCCGCUCCGCGGCAUGUGGGGUCUUCCCGGACCGGGGCAUGAACCCAUGUCCCCAUGCCUCAGCAGGCAGACUCUCAACCACUGUGCCACCAGGGAAGCCCUAACUGCCUCUUUUUUUAAUUGAUGUUAUCUCUGUACCUACUUUCAGUCUAUCCUCAACCCUUCUGACCGUUGACAACUUUCACUAUGAUCAAGUACAUCAAAUAUUCUAUUUUUUAUUAUUUUCUUUUUUUCUCUCUCUCCCUCUUUCUCUCCUUCCCUCCCUCUCCUCCCACCUCCUACUUCCCUCUCUCUUUCUCCUUCUCUCUCUCUCUCACUCUCUUUCUUUCCUUCGGUGUCUCUCCUGAAGGCUUAUAUGCUUUUGUGCCAAUAUUCUUCUGUCCUACAUUUUCUUGGUCUGCCGCUUAACUGAAGUCAUACAACUGCCCUUCACCAUCAUUCUUGGAAUAUUUCACCCCCUUCUGUGUUGCAUUAUCUGUUUUUCUUGAUCCCUUCUCCUCUUCUUUCUCAGCUUAGUCCCUUAAAUUGGUGGAGCACAUCCUCAGGGCUUCUUAAGAAAUGGUGCACAGGAGACUGUUUUUAUGAAAAUGAUUUUUGAAAAUGUCUUUAUCCUAACAUUUGACUCAUAGUUUGCCAGAUGUAGAAUUAUAGUCAAGAAAACAUAUUCUGUCCAAAUUGUAAAGGCAUUUCUUCACCAUCCUGUGGCUUUCAUACUGCUAAGUCCAGUGACAUUUGGAUCUCCUACUCUACGUGUGUAACCUGUUUUUUCCCUCUGAGAGCUUUUCACAUCUUCUUUUAUCCCUAAAAUUUCUUGAUGAUAUGCUUUAAUAUAGCCCUUUUCCAUUCACUAUGUCUGGUACUAUGACUUUUUUUUUUUUAAUUUGGAACUGUGUCCUUAAGAUAUGUUCUUGUAUUAUUUUUUGAUCAUUUCUACCUUUCCUUUUCUCUUUUUUUUAACUUUCUGGAACUUUUAUUCAUCAUGUAUCAGACCUCCUGGAUUGUUCUCUAAUUUUCGUAUCUUUUCAAUUUUCCAUAUCUCGGUCCUUCCGUUCUACAUUCCGUGAGAUCUUCUUAACUUUAUGCUCCAACUCUAAAAUUAAACAUUUUAUUUUAUUUAUCACAUUUUUAAUUUCCAUAAGUUCUUCCUUGUUCUCUGAUUUACCCUUUUUCGAUCUAAAGCUAUUAAUUAUCAUUUUAAAACUAAGUUUUCUUGUACUCCCUGCUUUGUCUCUGUUUCUCCUAAGCACCAUUUUUCCGUAUGCUCAUUUUAUUUUUCUUUCUUUCACAUUGAAAGCUUUUCUCACACGUUUGUUUAUUUAAAGGGUGAGGCACGGUAAAGCUAACUAGUUGCUCUGUGCGCUUAGAUAGGGCUUGUCAAAUGCGGAGCCUCACUGUAGGGGGAUUGAGCUAGAACCCAGCCACUUCACUGGGCCAGCGUCUACAGAUUUUCCCCCCAGGGCCAGUCAGAAAAGACUCCAUCAACCUCGUUACAGAGAGUUGUAAAUCUAGAGGCCGGCUUUCAGGAGCUGAGCAGAGGAAGGGGAUCGGCAGGUGGCGGUGAUGGCGAGGGGUAUCUCAGUAAAUACUUUGUAGACUUUCACUUAAGUUCCCUGUUUUGUAUGGCUCCUCAGCCCACCCUCAGCCAGGGCUGGGCUGCAGGAUUCCAGAGCUUUGUGGCUUCACCUCUCCCGACUCCUUCCAGUCUGGGGUUGUGUAUCUGGUCCACCUCUUCAUGAAACAGAACUUUAGCCAAUUUUCCUUUUGUGUGCACCCCACACCUCCCACCCUGGCAUUCAGAGGUGCUUCUGACUCCUGAGAUUGUACAGCAUCCUUUAACUUGACCCAUCUUGCUUUAUUUCUGGCUUCCCCCACUGCUGGAUUAGAUUUAGCUUUCCCUAAACAGCUCAGUCGUUCACCACUCAGACAUCUGAUUUUCAUCUUCCAGAAUUUUGUUGACACCCUGGAUGGCUAUUUCCAUCCCCCACCCUCUUUGUUUUUGGAUGCUUAUGUCAUUUUUAUUACUUCAUUGUCACUAUACCAGGGAGUUGGAAAAUCCAAGACAAAUGUGGAUGUUCAGUCUACCAGAGGCUUCCUUGGCGACUUUCAACACCUUUCUGUCUGAAUAUCAAAUACUGUCCAAUAUUGAAAUUUAUAUGUUACAGCAUAUUUCACAUUAUUGCUUCUAACAUUUUGGGCUUUAAUAGAGUAGAUUUCAUGAAUGCUAAAGUGCUCUCUUGACAUAAAAUGUACAUGUCAAAUACAUGUGUUCAGAAAGACAGCAGUGUCAACAUGACUAUCAUGCUAUUUUAGAAUAAGAUCUGGUGGUUAUAACCAUUGAGUAGUUUUUAGAAUCUUGAAAAUAUUGACUGACUUCAAGGACUAUAGAAACAAUUUAAGUUCCAUGACCCUGACUAAGCCAAUAGCAUCUGGCAACUCAGAUGCAAGGUAAAAUAUUGACAGAACCCUCAUCACUGACGUAAUCCAGGGCCUCCCAGCUGAGGGGAAACCCGUGGGCAGAAGCACUACCAAAUUCCAGGUAAUAAAUGAAAUGUUCCAAUUCAUGUUCCAAUUCAUGGGCAUAAUAGGUCAUUUCCAUCCACAUACUGGCAUAUUUUGAAAAUCCUGAUUGAUAUUCUGUCCGAGUCUUAGAAAUAUGAGGCUAAGAGUAAACAGCAGAAAAAGAAAAGUUUUAGGAAAGGAAUUCAUUUUAUAAUAGUACUGUGGAAGAAAGAGGUUUUAAUUAGCCCCCUAUGAGAAUACUCUUUAAAGGUUUUGUGGGAUGAGAAUAUUCUUAUUUACUGAGGGAGCUUACAACCCGUCAGACAGUGGUUCUGAAACUUUUGUGGGCCUAAGAAUCACCUGGAGGAAUCGUUCAAGAUACAGGGGAUCAGAUUCCACUGCCAAAGAUGCACAAUCAGUAGGUCUACGACGAGGCUUGGGAAGGUGGAUGUUAAUAAGCAAUCCACCACCAUUUUCUAUUGGAGAAAUAGUACAUAAGACAACUGGAACUACAGUUAAAGCAACCUAUGUUUAUUUCAUUGUUCAGUAUUUGCAUGUGCUUAAAUUGUCCGUGGAACUAUAAAUUCUUCAAGGUCUCCGACUUGUAUCGUUUGAAGUAAGAUGGAAAAGUUAGGGUACUCUGCGCUUCCUGGAUUUCUUUUUCUUUUUUAGGAUAGAGUGAUUUUUUUUUUUUUUUUUUUGCGGUACACGGGCCUCUCACUGUUGUGGCCUCUCCCGUUGCAGAGCACAGGCUCCGGACGUGCAGGCUCAGCGGCCAUGGCUGUGAAAAAAAUAUAUAUAUAUCAUCUGCAGUGUCUGGCAGUCUCGUUGGGGAGAUGAGAAGGCUUAUGAAACAAGUAAAUACAAGGCAACAAGUGGUUAAGUGCCAUCUUACUAAAUUCUACAUUAAAGCUCAUGGGCAGAGACAGGCGAGGGUCAGGACUGCCGGGACUGGAAAGGAGAAGCCUCCAAGGGGGAGGUAAGCCUUGAGGCAGACCAAGAAUAAGUAGGAGUUGGAUGCGUGGAAGGUGGUGGAAAGACAUUCUGGCGCAGGCAAGGGGUUGUUCCUUGAGAGAUGAUACAGAUUCUGGCCAGUCUGGAGGGAAGGUUACCCUUGGAGAAUAGUGAAGCGAAAGGCAUGGGUGAACAGCUAGUGGACCUACUAUUUGAAGUAGGAGACAGUAAGAAUCUCGAUCUGGAUGUGGCAUUUAAAUUUGAAGGAAAAACAGACACAGCAGCAUUUAGAGGAAAGGAAUAACAGAACUUGGUGAUUGAAUAUAUGAUGAGAUGAAAGGGAAAUGAAUCAAAUAUUUAUGACCAUAAGGUUAAAUAUUAGGGUAGUAUAAUAGUUUCUGAAAGAUGAUAAGUGUGUCAUAUAUACAUCGAAAUAUCAAAACUUAUUUGUAUUUAAAAGCAACUCAAACAGUUGUUAUUAUUUAUCUUAUUCUGCUGAUUUGUUUCUCUCAUUGGCCAAGGUACAGGUUCCAUGCUCUGCAACAGGGUGAAGCUAGCACGUAGCACGUUUUUAAAAGUUUGUGUUAAAUUGAGCCACAAAUAGCUUCUCCUGUGUUUUGUAGUUGGGCUUUUUGUUUUUACAAGGGUUUAGUUUUCAAUAAAUUCCUAUUAUUAUGAAAAUAGUUGUUUUCAUUAGAGUAGUAAUAGACUAUUAUAUGUUCCUUUUGCUUAAUAUUUCUAUCAUAAGGAUUUACUUGGUCACAUCUUACCUAUUACUCCAAAGUCCUGUCUAAAGAUAGCCAAUCGUGCGAGAAUAUCAGAGGCGCAGGAUUCCAAGCUUUCAAACAUAGUACGUCAUCACUCAUUAACUACUCAUGGCAACUCUGGACUUUUCUUUGAAAAACAAAAUGCUGUUUUCCUAUACAACGAUAGUCUAUUAUAUCUUGGUUUCUGAGCAAGUUUCUAUGGAAUUCAUCUGUUUUAUGAUACCAAAUGGUUUGCCUCUGACCCAGUGCGUAAAGAAUCAAAAUACCUUUCCUGAGUUAGUUACAUUUCUAAUACAUUGUCAUGAUUAGUUAAUAUGAUUCAUGAGCUUAUGCAGCUUAUCUAUACAUUUUCAUUUACUAAAGAGUAAGUAUUGACUCCAUAUAGUAUCCAAACUGAUAACUCUCAUGUAUUAAUAUUAUGAUUUCCUAGAAGACGUUUUAUCAACAUACCUGCAUUCCCUAAUUGCUUUUGCAUCCGACACAUUUGAAAGUGUGUUUGGGCUUCUUUUCUGCACUGGACUCCAGCCAGUUCAUACAAAGGACUUUAAUGAGCUUGCUAGGCCACCAAUGCUUGCAGUGCCAAGCUGAAGGGAGACAGUGGUACAAGGAAAAAGGUCAUCUGUGGGUGGAGACAGCAGUGCACCUGAGGCCACUGCUAGUGUUUCUAGUGCCUGGGUGAGAAUCGGGAAAUGGUCACCCCCUCUGAGAAGAUGGACUGAAGCUGCAGCCCCCUUGCACCCUCCACUGGACACUGUUGUGCUAUUCAUGAAUUGCACAACCACAGGCUGGGGCUCUGGUACACCUGCUCAUUCCCUAAAAGCCGCUAAAGCGCAGAGCAGAGAGUCAGCUUCUCAGGUCCGUGCAGUAAGAAUCCAAGUACCGUGUGCCACGAGGUACCAUGCUGUGCUGUCCCCGAGGGGCCUGGAAUGUGAAACCAUCAGGUUGAAGGGUGACCAAAGGCCCUGGAAUGCAGGGUGGUUCACAUCUGACUGUAGAGCAGCCUUCAGGACAGACAAUGCUAGUUUCAAUAUCACUUCUUACUAAGAUUUUCCUUGCUGUGGCAGAAAAGCCCCGAGAAAAUCAUUUGGCUUCUCAGAGCUGUGACGGGUGUAGGUGUACCAAACUCGAGAGCGGAACUGCCAAUAGAAAUACCGUACAAACCACAAAUACAAACCAUGGAAUUUAAAAAUUUCUAUUGGCCACGUCACAAAAGGCCCAAAGAAACGGAUAAAAUUAAUUUUAAUAUAUAUAUAUAUAUAUGUGUAUUUUUAAAAAAGCAAAUGAAUUGACUAUUUAAGCCAGGCUUUUAUUUUUAUUUUUUGUCCGUGCCACACAGCAUAUGGGAUCUUCGUUCCCCAACCAGGAAUGGAACCCGUGCCCCCUACAGUGGAAGCGGGGAGCUCUAACCACUGGACCGCCAGGGAAUCCCCUUAAUCUAUUUUUAUUUAGCCCAAUAUAUGAAAAUAUGAUGUCGAAGAAUAUAAAAAUUGUUAAUGAGAUACUUGACAUUGUUUUCUUCAUACCAAGUCUUUGACAUCGGGUGUGUCUUUUACACUUACAGCACAACUCAGUUUGCAGAGGCCACGUUUUGGGUGUUCAAUAGCCACACGUGGCUAGUGGCCAGGUGUUGGACAGGGCAGGUCUGAAACAACAAUAGCAAAAGUCUGCUGUGUGAUCAGAAAGGCGAUCGGCAGGACCAGAGGUGAAGCAGGAUGAAAAUGUUUUGGCUGUUUCAGAGCCGCUGAUUCUUUAUGUCAACUCUUAACAGCUCUGUGACCCUAAACUGGACAGCAUAGACUGGACAGAAUAGACUGGUGCCUCCCAUUGCCCUCCCGACAUCCCGAGAGCCACACACAGCAGGCUCUGUGUCCUUGUCAUUCGAAUUCACCUGCUCUGCGGGCCCACGGCCUUCGUUUGUUACCCGGGGCUUCCGUUAUUCAUUCAAACCCUAUUGUCAACAUAUAACAUUUGCGAGCAGCAGCCUUGGGGCCAUAUAAACAUCCUGCGGUGGGUCAGGAGCGCCUGACCUCCUAUUAACAUGUCAAUGAGAGUGGCUGGUGCUCUGGGCUUGUUUUCUAGGGUUUUGAUGAGCUUCAUUAAUUAUGUUGAGAAAAAAAGGUGUGCAGCUGGAGAAGAACCCACUUAGCUCCACGCAAAUGUGAAUAAUUGGACAGUUGACAGAGUGUUAAAUUGGCGGUCUAGUGAGAGAAACUCGUGAAUAACCACAAUUCCCCCGAAUGCCACAAAGCAGGUACAGUUCUCUCGCCAGCCACCUGCACCUUCUCUGGACUUGAGAACCGGCCAGGUGUGAGCUCACGUGAGAUCAGUUAGGGCGCUGCCCUGGCAGGUCAAGAGGAGACGCAAGAGGGAAGAGAUAUGGGGACAUAUGUUUAUGUAUAACUGAUUCACUUUUUUAUAAAGCAGAAACUAACACACCAUUGUAAAGCAAUUAUACCCCAAUAAAGAUGUUAAAAAAAAAAGAAAAAGAGAGUGGACUCUGGAGCUAGGAGGGAUAUUCACAUCCUGCUCACCUCUUCGUUACCUGUAGGAUCUUGGGCAGAUUACAGAAGCUCUCUCUGAGCUUUAGUUUUUCCAUCUAGAAAAUGGGGACUAUAAUAAUAGGAUUGUUAUGCCGAUUCUAUGUCUUAAUUUAUGUAUAGCAUUUAGAAUAGUAUCAGACCCAUAAUAUGUACUAUAUGCAUUUUCUUUAAUGUAAAACAUUAAUCAUAUCAUAAGCUUUUCAUACCUUUUUAAUCCUCUAGGAGAGUAUAACUGUGUUUCAGUUUUCCUCUAACUUCAUUCAUUCAUUCAUUCAUUCAGUAGGCAUUGAUUAUAUACCUGAAAUGUCUAGGUAUUGGGCAUACAAAGAUGGAAAGAUUCUGGGAGAAACAUAUUAUCAUAUAUGUGAAAAUUAUGUGGACAGGGACUGCAAACAAAACGGCAAAAGUGUAUUAAUAUUCUCUUUUAAAAACCCACUAUUAGCAAGUUUUAAGUGCUGAUAAAAAGAGUUUUCUUUCAUCCUGGCCACAACAAGAUUGUUCCUCCUGCAAUUACCUCUGUUUGAAAUUAAAAUUACUUGUCAUAUUUUAACAUAAAAUAUGAAUAUGUAUACUUUUUGUUCAUUUCUGUUAAAUGAGCAAAAACUCCUCAACAGAAAAUCUAGCUACUUCCCCAUCCCUUACCUUAGAAGUCUCUUAGACUAUUUGAGGCCUGAUUAUUUCUAGAAUCUUACUGUAUGGCAAAAAUCAUUUGUCUUUGUCAAAAUCAGAAGCUUAAAAGGAGAUGGGAUUUAAUUCAAAUGAACACUUACAACAUCUAACCUUCUUGUGUAUUAGGAGCAGGUAAACAAGUAUUCCCCAAAUAAUGAAAACUAUUAUUACUUUAAAACUGCUUUUUUCUUUCUCUUUUUCUCUCUCUCUCUGGGGAGUUGGUUAGAGUAAAACAGGCAUUUUAGUAAAACUUAAGUUUAAAACUUAACUCCAAAAUAAAUAAGAGCUCUAUUGGAAAUUUUACUAUAUUAGUUCUCUAUCUAUAUGUAACACAUUACACCAGCAAUUCAGCAGCUUAAAAGAACAAGCAGUUCUGAGGAAAUCCAGGAGCAGCUGAGCUGGGUGGCUGUGGCUCAAGAUCUCUUAUAAGGUCGCAGUCCCAUUGUCAGCUGGACCGCAGUCAUCUGAAGGCUGGACGAGGGCUGGAGGAUCUGCCCCCCGGGGACUCCCUCCCAUGGCAGCUGACCGGAGGCCUCAGUUCCUCACUACAUGGAUCUCUCCGCAGGGCUGCUUGAGUGUUCUCAUAACAUGGCAGCUGGCUUCCCCAGAGUGAGUGAUUCAGGAAAAAGCAAGGAGGAAGUCACCAUACAUUGUAUGACAUCGCGUUGAAGUCACAGACCUUUGCCUCUUCAUUAUUCUCUUUCUUUGAGGCAGGUCAGUAAGUCCAGUCACCUUCUAGAGGAGGGGAAUUAGUUCUACCCUCUGAAUGGAGUGUCACAAAUUUGUGGACAUAUUUGUGGACACCAUAAUUACCAUGAAAGGCUUUUGACAUUUCAUAAGCAACAUUUCCUGAGGACCAAUUGCACACGAACGAAGCUAUAUUCCCGUUACUGUGAGCAUCACAAAGGAUGUAAAAGGCACGGUUCCUGCCCUUAAGAAGUUUAUCCUCUAGUAAAAGCUGGAUUUAAAAAAAAAAAAAUUUAAGUAAUAACAGCAUACAGAUUCCUAUUUAUAUUCAAUAGAGUGACAUGUUGUCCAAGUUACAGUGAUGAAAUUCAAAGGUUAUUCUUUUGUAUACCUUUUAAUAGAGAAAACUAGCUGUCUUUUGGAUUAAGUAAAUGCAUGUACAUUGAUGAGAAAUACUGCUACAAGAAAGUCAUUCAGUGGGGUUGACUUCCUAGUAUUGUAAAUACAUUCCACCCAAUCUGAUGAAAAAUGUGUUUUUGAAACCAAAAUAAAGCAAGCAUUUAUGAAUAAUCUGUACACCCUAUUAAUGUAAUAUAUAAUUAGCUACAACUAGUAGCUGAAAUAUAAGCAGAAGGAUAACUUGUUCAUGUUCUAGUUUUUCUUUUGUUUUGAAAGACAUCAGCUGUGUGCUUUGAUGUACUUCUUUUUUUUUUUUGGUACGCGGGCCUCACACUGUUGUGGCUUCUCCCGUUGCGGAGCACAGGCUCCACACGCGCAGGCUCAGUGGCCAUGGCUCACGGGCCCAGCCGCUCCACGGCAUGUGGGAUCCUCCUGGACCGGGGCACAAACCCGUGUCCCCUGCAUCAGCAGGCGGAUUCUCAACCACUGCACCACCAGGGAAGCCCGAAAAUUUGUAUUUUUAAAGGCUUUUGUCUUACAUAUACUAAAUUACUAUAGAAACAAGAAUUGGAAAGUAUCAAUCAGGCUCUUCAAUCUGUCUUCACUUUGCCAUGUUUCCCACACCAACAUGGGAUUGAAAUACAGUCAUCCCUUGGUAUCCAAGGGGAAUGUUUCCAGUACCCCCCAUGGAUACCAAAAUCUGAGGAUGUCUCAAGUUCCUUACAUAAAAUGGCAUAGUAUCUGUAUGUAACCUACCCACAUCCUCUCUUACACUUUAAAUCAACUCUGGGUUACUUAUAAUACCUACUACAAUGUAAAUGCUAUGUAAAUAGUUGCUGCGUGGCAAAUUCUUUUGCUUUGGGGAACUUUCUGGAAUUUCUUUUCAAGUAUUUUUGAUCCACAGUUGGUUGACUCCGCAGAUGUGGAACCAACCCACAGAUACACUGUAAUUAGUUCUAACAGUGACAUGUACAGAAAGACCAUAGCACAGUUCAGUGUGCCCCACCCAUUUCUGUGACUCUCUCAGGAUCACACAAGAUUAUUUUAAGUAAUAAAAUGUCAACAGUAAUAAAUAUAAUUAGGAAGGAAAUUUGGAUAAACCUAUGCACAGGAAAAGACUUAUUUUAGAAUCUUUUCCUCUGAACUUUUUUUUUUUUUUUGGUCAGGAUUGAGUUUCUUUUUAAUACCAGUGCUAUCACUCAAGGAGAAGGAGAAUUUAUUUGUAUCCUUUAUCCUGUUUUGAUUUUGAGGGAGAAAUCUUACAAAUUCCUUAUCCGAUUUCCUUAGACAUGAAGUCAAAAAACCAAAAUACUACCUUUUUUUUUUUUAGUGAAUACAAUGUUUCAAGCAUUGUUCUACACAGCCUACCUAUGUGUCUUCCUUUAAUCUUCAGGAAGCUUGUCAUAACCGUAUUAUUAUCUCCAUUUACAUGUGAGAAGACUGAGGCUUAGAAAGGUCAAGUGGUUUUUUUUUCUAAGGGCGUGUAGCUAGUCAAGGGGAGAGUGGAGAUUUGAACUCAGAUCUCUUUGAAUUCAGGGCCCAGGCUUUGCUUAACUACUGUGCAAAACUGCCUUCCAGUUAAACCUGAAUUUCAAUAUUAUUUUCUCUCAAAGAGCUAACAGCACUUUCACAUAUUAAUCUACUCUGCUCAUAUCAAGCUGAGUAGCUAAGUGGAAUGAAUUCAUAAUAUCGGAUGAAUCUUGAAUGAUCCUAUAGCCAACCUUCCGUCUAUAUCCAGUAUCAACAGUACUGUCUCUGAGGUCCUUAUAAAUGUGGAGGGUAGUAUUCCUUGAAAUUUGAAGAGGGACCAUUACAGCUGCUCCACUGAGGGCCCAGCCACCGUUUUCCUAAAGAGCCCUAAGUACCAUCAUGUAUGAGAAACAGUGUCCAAAAUUCUGGUUAAAAAGUAUUAUGGUAUAUUGAAACCAGGAACCAGUUUUUUGGUAUAAGAGUCAUGGGGACUCUUAUACAUGAUUUUUGUGUAAGAGUCACGGGGAGGCCAGGCCAUCCCCACAGGGGGCUGUGAAAGGCAGUGAGGAACAGUGGGCCCAGGAAGUGGACGGACCUUAGUUUGAACACUGGCCCCUUCGCUUACCAGCUGUGGGGUCUUCCUCAAGGUAUCAUGUAUAUUUGAAUUUCAUAUAUAUUUCUUAACUUCAGUUUUCCCAUCUGUGAAGUGGGGAUAAUAAUAAUCUACCCAAGGUUAAUUUAUUUUUUAUUAUCAUUAUUUUAGGUAGGGCAUCAGAGAGAGACAGACAGUUUUCAUGAAAAGCUUCCUAAUUUGGAAUCCAGCAGAUCCUGAUUCAGACCUCACAUUGGAUGUUUAAUAACUGUGUGUCUGGGGCAGGUCUCUUCAGUUUCUUCAUCUGCAAAAUGAGAUGAUAAUGCCUACCUUGCAGGGAAAAUUAACUAUGGUGAAUGUCAAAUGUUUGGCGUGGAGCAGAGGCUCAGCAGAUGUUGGCUCUGAUUAGUGUUUUCUGCGUACCAAAGCUGCUGAACUAUUUCCCUAGAAGCUUAGACCAACUUCCUGAGUACCUUCCAGGCUCAUGGAUUUUAACUUUUUUUUUUCUUUUUUAAGUAGCACAUACAAUGAAAGCUACAGCAGUAUCACCAGAAAAAUACACAUUCCCCAAACAAAUGUGGAUACAAUUACAGGGGAUUCAUAGGCACUCACCCGCCGCCCCCAGAAUAAGAUUCCCCAGUUCAGACCCAAGAGUUUAAAAAUGUAUGACAAUCCAAAUGGAAUAGCGAUCGCUUAGUAUCCUAGUAUUCCCGUCGCAACUUUCCCAGUAUCGCUAAAAUGGAAUUGUUUACCAAAAAACUCACUUGAUUCAGAACAUUUCAAGAACACACAUUUCAUUAACGGAGACAAGCUUCUUUUAACAAAACGUAUUUGUCAAAUGCCUAUUAUGUGCCUAAUAAGGUGGUGGGUGUUAUGGGGAACAAAGGCAGCUUAACAUGUGGUCCCCUGCCCUCAGCGUUUCCUUCUAAUUGGAGAGGCAAGUGAACAAGGCCGCGUGAGCUGUAUUAGCGCUAUAUGCUGAUAUAAUCAAGCACUAAAUUGUGUGUGCUUGUGUGGGUGGGCGCACAAGCCUCACAUAUCAUUCUCUGACCUUGAAUUGUACACAAAUCAUUAGCGUCAAACUGGAGUUGCCCACUGCUCCCCCGCCCUGUAUCUUUACUUGGCCGACUUCCAUCACAGCCGCUCCCUCUGUGUCUGAAACACGUUUUAGAAAUGAGGGGAUGAAAUAACACACUGAGGAAGGGAGGAAGAUCCGCAAAGAAAAAAGGGGUCACCUGUCCGUCUGUGGUUACCAUUGCACGCAGCUUCCAUGUUGGAAAGGGGCUGACCCAGGAGGACCCAGGCUUCGUGAAAACCUCUCAGUGGGACACACGACAGCUUCCCUUCCCUGUUUACAAAUGAACUGCAGGGUCUUCUGUCAGGGACUGAAUCUGAAGAGGAGAGGAAUAGUGCAAAGAAGAAGGCCUGUCGGGCAGGAAGGGAAAUAAACACGUUGAGGUUCCAGACUUUGAUAGUCGUCACAGCUGAGAUGGCAUGGGCCUUGGGCAUGGGAGAAGAUCUGCAAGAGAAUUGUUGGGUGACGAGAAAGAGGCCUGCCCCUAACAUUUAUGGGCCCAAGACAAGCAUACAGAGGUAGACCUACAUACCAUAUGCUUCAUAUGUAUUAGUUCUAGCUAACGGUUAAGUAAAAUACGUUCUAUCAUCUGACUUUGACAACUGCAACUUCAUAGCAACUGGGAAGGCCAGGUUUGAAUGCAGAAUCGGUACUGCAGCGUGGGUUCCCUGGACCAUCUAGUUUUCUUCCCUUCCUUGGCUCUGUGCUGUACCAGGGGGGCUUCCCACACUUCUGGGACCUUCUAGCCCACAGCCCCAUGCACACCCGCCUUGUCCACUUUGGGGCCUGGAAGUGCACACAGCUGUGUGUCCACCUUCCAGAGCAAAGAGCUCGGAAAGCAGGCUUGAGGCUCCCUGGGCAGGGUAUGUGGGGAUUCCAGGUAUCCAGAACACAGUCUAGAAGGGAAGACAUGGGCUCCUCUCGCCUUGGCCCUGCUGACUACCUGCCCUGGUAGGGAGGGGUGGCUGGAGGAAGACCUGAUUGGGCCCUCUAAACCUGGGGGUCAGGGCAGGGGCCCCUCAAUGCCUGUGUCAAAGGGCAAAACUGAAGAGAAGGAGGAAGACUUAGGGAGGCAUGUGUUUAAGUCACAGUCAUUAAGGCUGCUCAGUUCAUUCGGGGGCAGGGUGGGUGGUAAGUUGGGAGCAGCCAAACAGCUGGAAGAGAGGUUGAUGGAAAGAAGGGAGAAGGCCAGACCUGGACCACCUCUAACAAAGACAGGGACUCCAUUUAUUAUCGUGUUUAGUUAGAGAAUGAAAAAAUCUUCUUUUCCAGAAGCCAAAGGGCUCUAUAAUUCAGUGACAAGAGAUAUGAAAGGCAAAAAGAAUGAUGGGGGCUUCCCUGGUGGCGCAGUGGUUGAGAGUCCGCCUUCCGAUGCAGGGGACACGGGUUCGUGCCCCGGUCCGAGAGUAUCCCACAUGCCGCGGAGCGGCUGGGCCCGUGAGCCAUGGCCUCUGAGCCUGCGCGUCCGGAGCCUGUGCUCCACAACGGGAGAGGCCACAACAGUGAGAGGCCUGCGUACCGCAAAAAAAAAAAAAAAAAAAAAAAAAAAAAAAAAAGAA